GGGUGGUAAUGCCGGAUGCUCCAGUUGAUCGCAUGGUCUUCUGGGAAAGCCUUUGCGGCAUGGGAUGGGGUCGCGUCCUAUCAGCUUGAUGGCGGGGUAACGGCCCACCAUGGCUUCGACGGGUAGCCGGCCUGAGAGGGCGACCGGCCACAUUGGGACUGAGAUACGGCCCAGACUCCUACGGGAGGCAGCAGUGGGGAAUAUUGCACAAUGGGCGCAAGCCUGAUGCAGCGACGCCGCGUGAGGGAUGGAGGCCUUCGGGUUGUAAACCUCUUUUGUUAGGGAGCAAGGCAUUUUGUGUUGAGUGUACCUUUCGAAUAAGCACCGGCUAACUACGUGCCAGCAGCCGCGGUAAUACGUAGGGUGCAAGCGUUAUCCGGAAUUAUUGGGCGUAAAGGGCUCGUAGGCGGUUCGUCGCGUCCGGUGUGAAAGUCCAUCGCUUAACGGUGGAUCCGCGCCGGGUACGGGCGGGCUUGAGUGCGGUAGGGGAGACUGGAAUUCCCGGUGUAACGGUGGAAUGUGUAGAUAUCGGGAA
rnacentral:rRNA from 1 species